UACGUAGGUGGCAAGCGUUGUCCGGAUUUACUGGGCGUAAAGAGCGCGCAGGCGGUCGUUCAAGUCGCGUGUGAAAGCCCCCGGCUCAACUGGGGAGGGUCACGCGAUACUGAUCGACUCGAAGGCAGGAGAGGGUAGUGGAAUUCCCGGUGUAGUGGUGAAAUGCGUAGAUAUCGAGAGGAACACCAGUGGCGAAGGCGAGUCCCUGGACAACUCCUGACGCUGAGGCACGAAAGCUAGGGGAGCAAACAGG
rnacentral:rRNA from 1 species